CUUUCGGAAGAUAUAGCACGCAUGUUGAUAGCCAUCAAUUACUUGUGAUGUGUUUGCAUUGUUUGUUGUUUAGUAUGCUAUAUGUAAAUAUUUAUAUUGACCUCUUGAGUGUAUAGCCGUCUGUUUCAGGUCUCUGGCUCAGCUGAUGUUCCGGAUACGAAAAUUCCGCACGUUCGCGAAGACUGAAUAAUUUACAAUUCCGUAGUGAAGAUUCUGAUGCUGCUUGGAAGAUAUUUACCCUAUUAUUUUGAUACUUCCGAGUUAGAAUUUCGUGUCUGAGGAGCAAGUGCAUGGUAUGAAAUGAGCAAAUCAAGAACUAUGCACACUUCCCCAUUUCUUACCCAACAAGUGCUCCUUUUUUAUAUCUGGCUUUAAUAGCUCUACCAAUAUGGCAGUCUUUACGGAAGGUUUUACAGACGCCUGAAUAUGUGAAUGAACCUCUACCUGUGGUCAUUCACCAGUGAGCAUUCAAUAUGAAGUAUGCUAACGCCACCAUGUGACGUUACAAGUGAGUGUGCUUACCUCACAAAUAUCUUUCUAUUAAUAUUUUGUUAUGUUUGUAAAAAUAAUUUUUGUAACUGGUUAUAAACAUUUUUA